rnacentral:rRNA from 1 species
GUGGAAGUUGUUGAUGCCAUACUUCCAGGAAAAGCCUCUAAGCUUCAGAUUAUUUCGAAUCGUACCCCAAACCGACACAGGUGGUCAGGUAGAGAAUACUAAGGCGCUUGAGAGAACUCGGGUGAAGGAACUAGGCAAAAUUGUACCGUAACUUCGGGAGAAGGUACGCUCCUAUCUGUGAUGAGACUUGCUCUCUAAGCGGACGGGAGUCGCAGUGACUAGGUGGCUGGGACUGUUUAUUAAAAACACAGCACUCUGCAAAUUCGAAAGAAGACGUAUAGGGUGUGACACCUGCCCGGUGCCGGAAGGUUAAUUGAUGGGGUUAGCUUCGGCGAAGCUCUUGAUCGAAGCCCCGGUAAACGGCGGCCGUAACUAUAACGGUCCUAAGGUAGCGAAAUUCCUUGUCGGGUAAGUUCCGACCUGCACGAAUGGUGUAACCAUGGCCACGCUGUCUCCACCCGAGACUCAGUGAAAUUGAAAUCGCAGUGAAGAUGCUGUGUACCCGCGGCUAGACGGAAAGACCCCGUGAACCUUUACUACAGCUUGGCACUGAACAUUGACCCUACAUGUGUAGGAUAGGUGGGAGGCUUUGAAGCACAGUCGCUAGAUUGUGUGGAGCCGUCCUUGAAAUACCACCCUUGUAGUGUUGAUGUUCUAACAUAGGCCCCUGAAUCGGGGUUGUGGACAGUGCCUGGUGGGUAGUUUGACUGGGGCGGUCUCCUCCCAAAGAGUAACGGAGGAGCACGAAGGUUUGCUAAGUACGGUCGGACAUCGUACGGUUAGUGUAAUGGUAGAAGCAAGCUUAACUGCGAGACAGACACGUCGAGCAGGUACGAAAGUAGGUCAUAGUGAUCCGGUGGUUCUGAAUGGAAGGGCCAUCGCUCAACGGAUAAAAGGUACUCCGGGGAUAACAGGCUGAUACCGCCCAAGAGUUCAUAUCGACGGCGGUGUUUGGCACCUCGAUGUCGGCUCAUCACAUCCUGGGGCUGAAGUCGGUCCCAAGGGUAUGGCUGUUCGCCAUUUAAAGUGGUACGCGAGCUGGGUUUAGAACGUCGUGAGACAGUUCGGUCCCUAUCUGCCGUGGGCGUUUGAGAAUUGAGAGGGGCUGCUCCUAGUACGAGAGGACCGGGGUGGACGAACCGCUGGUGUUCGGGUUGUGAUGCCAAUUGCAUUGCCCGGUAGCUACGUUCGGAAUCGAUAACCGCUGAAAGCAUCUAAGCGGGAAGCGAGCCUCGAGAUGAGUUCUCACUUUAACUUGAGUUAACUGAAGGGCCGUUGAAGACUACAACGUUGAUAGGCAGGAUGUGGAAGUGGUGUGAGCCAUUAAGCUAACCUGUACUAAUUACCCGUGAGGCUUAACCAU